UGCAGGUAUGGGGACAGAGUAGUAUUUGUUAAGCACUCAGGAAUCCAAAUGCUGGCCCCACCAACUAACUGCAUGACAGGGCAAGAAGCAGGCUGACGCAUAUUUAGAAGAGACCUCAAGUAUUCAGAAUGGAGAAAAAGCAAACCAGAUGAAGCUGGAAGCAUUGAAGAGUAGACGGGAGACCGGCAGGAUAGUAAUGGCACUCCUUCGAGGAGACAGUGAAAGUGUGAUUCUUAUCUUCAUGGUACAAAACGGUCCAAAUUUCAGCCAUUACAUUCCAAGCAGCUGAUUGGAAAAGCCUAUGGAAGACAGACUCUGGAAGGCCCCCAUGACCCCUACUUCCUGGUGUUCACACGCUUGAAUAAUCCUCUCUCAGUAAGUGUGAGCAGGACCUGUGACCAGCUUCUAAGCAACAGAAUAUGGCAAAGAUGAUGGGAUGUCACUUUUGUGUACACUAGGUUACAUUUUUAAAGACCACCUUGCUAGCACACUCAUUCUAGAGACUCUGCCUGCUGCCCUGGUGAAAUAAAUGGCCACGUUGGGAAGUCAA